UACGUAGGUGGUAAGCGUUGUCCGGAUUUACUGGGUGUAAAGGGCGUGCAGCCGGGCUGACAAGUCAGAUGUGAAAUCCCGCGGCUCAACCGCGGAACUGCAUUUGAAACUGUCAGUCUUGAGUACCGGAGAGGUCAUCGGAAUUCCUUGUGUAGCGGUGAAAUGCGUAGAUAUAAGGAAGAACACCAGUGGCGAAGGCGGAUGACUGGACGGCAACUGACGGUGAGGCGCGAAAGCGUGGGGAGCAAACAGG
rnacentral:rRNA from 1 species